rnacentral:rRNA from 1 species
GUGCGGCGUGCUAAUACAUGCAAGUCGAGCGAAUGGAUUAAGAGCUUGCUCUUAUGAAGUUAGCGGCGGACGGGUGAGUAACACGUGGGUAACCUGCCCAUAAGACUGGGAUAACUCCGGGAAACCGGGGCUAAUACCGGAUAACAUUUUGAACCGCAUGGUUCGAAAUUGAAAGGCGGCUUCGGCUGUCACUUAUGGAUGGACCCGCGUCGCAUUAGCUAGUUGGUGAGGUAACGGCUCACCAAGGCAACGAUGCGUAGCCGACCUGAGAGGGUGAUCGGCCACACUGGGACUGAGACACGGCCCAGACUCCUACGGGAGGCAGCAGUAGGGAAUCUUCCGCAAUGGACGAAAGUCUGACGGAGCAACGCCGCGUGAGUGAUGAAGGCUUUCGGGUCGUAAAACUCUGUUGUUAGGGAAGAACAAGUGCUAGUUGAAUAAGCUGGCACCUUGACGGUACCUAACCAGAAAGCCACGGCUAACUACGUGCCAGCAGCCGCGGUAAUACGUAGGUGGCAAGCGUUAUCCGGAAUUAUUGGGCGUAAAGCGCGCGCAGGUGGUUUCUUAAGUCUGAUGUGAAAGCCCACGGCUCAACCGUGGAGGGUCAUUGGAAACUGGGAGACUUGAGUGCAGAAGAGGAAAGUGGAAUUCCAUGUGUAGCGGUGAAAUGCGUAGAGAUAUGGAGGAACACCAGUGGCGAAGGCGACUUUCUGGUCUGUAACUGACACUGAGGCGCGAAAGCGUGGGGAGCAAACAGGAUUAGAUACUUGG